CCCUAUUAUUUUUGAAUGUUAAUUGUUUUGGUGCUUGAGUAGUAUUAGUUAUGUUCUUGAAACUUAAAGAAUUUGGCGGUAUCUCAUUCCGUCCAGAGGAAUCUGUCUCGUUAUCGAUAGUCCGCGUUGGACCUUUCUUAGUUGCUUUGGUUUGUAUACCGCCGUUUGAUUGAUUAUCUUUUUAGAGUUUAUUAAUUUUCUGGUUUCUUUAUUUUGAUUUAUUUCAGGUCAAGGUGCAGCUUGUUUCUAAGUGAAUGAUGGAUUACAUUGUUAUUUGUUUUUGGAUUGUUGAUUUUAAUAUUGAUAUGAAAUUGGAUUUGGUUGUAAUGAUUUGUAGAUUGUCAUUGUGAUAAGUGGUUCUGAGAUAUGUACACAUCGCCCGUCGCUCUCGUUUUGUUGUUAAUGAGAUAAGUC
rnacentral:rRNA from 1 species